AAUAAGGCAAAAGGGAGCUAUCCCAUCCCAAAAGCUAGAGGAAUAAUUUACUAAUUUGUUGAAGAAAACAUUAAAAUGAAAGGAAAUGAGGUAGUCACAAUAUAUAAAAGCUAGGGGUAUUGACUCCUAAGCAGGGCAUUGGAAUUAAAGUACAAGAAACUGAAAGAUUAAGAAGAGAAAGACAUGGCAGGAGGAUGGAAAAAACUCACAUUUGUGGCAUUUAUCUUUCUGCUAGCCAUUGCUUCUGGAUGGAUGAUGGUGGAGACGGCAGGAAAGAUUUGCUUCAAGCAAAGCCGGUCGUUCAAGGGAAAGUGUAUUUCAAAUGAUGAAUGUGUUAAAGCUUGCGAUACCGACAUGUGGUAUGACGGAUUUUGCUCGAAUGGUUUAUGCAUUUGUACCGUCAUUUGUUGACUUUGUCAUGAUCAUGUUAUAACAGUUUUAAUCUGGUAUAAAAUUGACCGAAGUUGUUAUCUUUGAAAUGAAUAAAUAAGUAUGUUGAUCGCUGCUGUUCAACUAUGGUAGCCAUGCACAUGUUUAC